GGUCAUCUCUGUUCUUCUCUUUGAUUUACUCCACCACCUCUUUCUACCUUCCGAUACCUUCUACAUCUAAUUCCUUCCACAACUUCCAUUUUCAUCUCCCAAAUUGAUUCGUCGUUUCCACUUUGUGUUCAGUGAAUGAAGUACCGAUGUUCCAUUUUCCAAGUUGAUUUCUUCUGCUUCAUCUCCAGUCUUUCUUCAUUUCUUUUUUUCUCCAUCUUCUGUGUUCGAUUAUUCUGUUGCCCUAUGACAUUGACAAUAGUUUCUUUUCCAUUUCUUCCUACGACUAUGGGAAGUCAUCUGCUUCACCAACAAAUCGACACCCAAAACAAUCCCGAUAACCCUCUGAAUUUCUCAAUAUGAUUUAAUUUUCGGGUAUUUGUUUUUGAAUCCCAGUUAUUUAUCUUUCUUGAUUCUAUAAACCAUAUAGGUGUGUAAAAUUAUAAACAACACGAUGAUUGCUUGAUUCCAAAAAUUGGGAUUUCUGGCUCAUGACUUCCGACUGUGGGCUUCUCAUCUUUAUCCAUGGAUUUUUGGUUCUCUAACUUGAGUGGGGCGUACUGCAGUCGUUGAUGAUGCCAAAGGUAAUUAAUCAAUUUUUUUUGCACUUUUUAUUCACGUAUUUUACAUGGAUUUGAUCUUUUACAUGGAUUAUCAAUUUGUUGCUCUUGCUUCUAUGUUUUAUUAAUCUUGUAUCUUUUUAUAGUUGCUCUACAUAUUCAAUUCAGGCUCUUUAUUUUUGUAUUCCAUUUCAUGACCAGCCUAAAAAUCCAACAAGAUUUAGAUAUAAUAAUGAGUUGUUUACUGAUAUGGAUGAAGUUCUGGCCGCUACCCACUAGGUAUUCGAUGAAAUGCCUAAGUCUCUUUUUCUGUGUUGUUAUCAUCGCUUUACCUGUGUUUUAUAUUAUUUUAUUGGAUAGAUUCAUUAGUGUUUUAAAUAUUUUUUUAUCUCAAAAAAAUAGUUUUUCAUUCUGUUAUAGUUAAUGUAGUUUUGGUUAUGUUAGUAGUGAUUGAAAUCAUGAUAGCUUAUGGAAAAUGUCUGUAGUUGAACUCACGAAAUUCAGAAGCGCUGUAUGAACCUUCAUGAAAAGGUAUUAAUUUUUGUAGCAUUAGUUUUUAUAUGAUUUUGGAGUUUUACCAUAUCAUUUUAUCAAUUCAUUUAUUAUUUUUCUAUUUUUGUGAAAAUUCAAGAAAAUGGCAGCCUUACACCUGCUUCCACUCUUUUACUUGGUUAUGAGCUGUAAGAGUUCAGUAGUUAAUUCAUCUUUUGUUAAAUAAGUACUCUGAAAAAGACAUCUCUACCCCUCUUUAAGAUUUCCUUGUACUUUUGAUAUUAUGUUUAUAAUGUCUUCAAAUUUAUUUUCGUUGUGUAGGUUGCAAUGUGGAACCAACCAUAUUGACUAUAUUUUGAAUGCCAUAAAUAUUUUUUUCAACAUACUUUUUUUUACUAUAUUUUGUAUCCACUAAACUACAUUUUGGACUAUAGUUGAUAACUAUCACAUUUUCUGCAGACAUUGGAUACUUGAUUGAAGAUUGAAAAGAACAUUUCAGGUUUCCACUUGCUUCUUCAUAUCUCUCAUUAUAUUUCACAAUAAUUAAUUCUAUAACAUAGUUACAUAAUCCAGUAUGUAAAAAGUAACAUGACCAAUGGCAUAUUUUGUUUUCAUCAUAGGUUUCUGGUUGCUGGAUCUUGCUAAUUAACACCAUUCAUGUAACAAUUUUUUAGUAUUUUCAUGUCUCUUCCACUCUUUUGUUCAUAGUAAAAUAAAUGUGCAUAACAGAUCUUUUUGACGUAUUUGUAGGAAGUGGAAGUGGAUAUGAUAAUCAAUAUUGUACGCCUACAAUCCGGACUAUAAUUUGCUUAUAAAAUUAAGGUAUGAUUCCUUUCUAUUUUUACUUUCAUUUAAUUCGAUGUCAUUUGUUUUUUAAGUGAUUUUAGGUCAUAGGCAAUGUUGUUUCAUUUGUUGUGUCUACCAAAGUACUGUUAUUUUCAAAAUAAAUAAAUAAAUAAAUAAAUAAACAACCCAUACCAUAACCUUAUAAAAAUUUGGAAUUAUUAUUGUUUUAUUCCAUAUGAUUCUGUUAUUAAAAAAAAUAAUUGUGUUUUUUUGGUGUUUAUCAACCACAUUGAUCUUGGAAACGCAAACUUCUCUAUUCAGUUGGUUUACAUCUUGGUCAACUUUCAAACCUACAUUACUUGGAAGUCAUUUAUUUUUGGUUACUAUGUUUUCUUUUUGAUGUAUUAUAGGUCAUAAAUUCAGAAAUAGCAACUACCUUUCAUUGAUUUUAUACUUCAUUUGGAAUUAUAAUUUUUGCUUAAUUUUAUACUUCAUUUGUACUCGGUUUCAAUAAUCUUUUUUGAUUUCUUUGAUUCUUUUUCAAUAAUAUGAUGUUUUAUGGUAUGUGGCGAAGUGCUUAUAUGUUCUUACUUCCCAUAAUAGCAACUUACUUCUAUUUUGUUACCAAUAAUAGCAAUAUGUAAAACGAAAUUUGUAAGAAUUUUACAAGUUUCAUGUUAUAUUUCUGUUAACGAUAAAAACAUGAAGUAUGUUGUUAUUUUUAAUUAUGCUUUCAUAUAAUCAUUUACUCAUUAGUAAUAUUAGACAAUGGAUAUAAUGACAUUCAGAUUAAAAUUUAUGUGGUUUGUUUUCGGGCUCCACAAUUGUUUGAUCUGCUACACAAUAUUUGGUAAGCUACCAAAAUGAAAAUAAUAUUUUCUUUUUUAAUUUUUGUUUUUUACUCUUUUAUGUUUUCUUUUGGGCCUAGUUUUGGAGGUAAUAUGUUUGAUUAAAGGGGCAACAACCCAUUAGGAGGGUUUUGAGUUUUUGAUGGCUAAUUUUGGGGAUUGGUGAUACUAGUCCAGGAGUGUGUUUCUGAGUUUAUCAACUUUAAAUUCCUUCCAUUCCACUUCUAUGAAUGGUAAAAUCCCUCAAACUUAGGAAUUGAAUGAAUUUUACAAAUUGAAUUCCGUCCAUCUGGCAAGUAAAAUGCAUUGGAACAGAAUCGAAAUUCCAAUUCUGUAGUUCUAUAAACUUUUUUGCACAACCUAAAUGAAUAUGACACUUUUUUUUUUCAGUCAAGUAACGACAGAAUGCUAAUCCUGCAUGUCAUAUAAUUAUUUGUAGGGGUUUAUAAUGUGAAAAGGUUUAAGUAACGAAAAAAGUAUGUUUUUUUGCUUUUAUGAAAAAAUUGUCCCUUCCUGUUUGUUGGUUUUCCUANNNNNNNNNNNNNNNNNNNNNNNNNNNNNNNNNNNNNNNNNNNNNNNNNNNNNNNNNNNNNNNNNNNNUAUAUAUAUAUAUAUAUAUAUUGUUAGAAGAAAAAGACAAAAGAAAGAAAGGGUAAUUUGGUUAUUUUAUAUAGAGCAGGGUCAUUUUAUAUAGAGCAAGGACCAAAACUACGAAUUCGACCAAACCUCAAUGACCAUUUCUGUAACGUACUCUAACCUUUAUAAACCUUCAAAAUAACAUAACUGGCCUAAAUAUUUUUCACUAUAACAUUCAGAUUUUUAUGGUACAUAGUUUCAAGAAUCAAUUCUAGAUUUUGGAAGGACUUACGACAUGAGAAAUGCCUCUCACGUCAUGAGAAAAGGUUAACUUGUUGACCCGCAUAUUUGGAGUCUCACGACGUGAGCCCUUGUUGCUCACGACAUGAGAGUAGCCUGAUUACCAAAACACUAAUUUUUCCGUAUUUAAUGGAAUGAGAGGGUUAGGGUUGCCCAUCCUCAGCCUCUCUCACUCUAUAAGCCUCCAGAAACCCUAAUUAGAUUGCUCCUUGAGUUCUUUAGCCAUUUUUGGCGCAUUUCUAGGUUUAAGAAGAAGAGAAGAAGAGGAAAUAAGUACUCUAGUGGUGGAGUGGGCAAAGUACCAUCAUCAUCUUUAUUUAUUCCUACUUUUGGGCCUUUGUAAGUAUUAAAUGUUCAAACUUUAUUUCAUAUUAUGGAUGGAUAUUGGGUUUUGUCCAUUUUAUUCAUGUUAUUGCAUGCUUGAGUGAAGGAAAUCCAUAAAGUUAGCAACUUUAUGGAUAUUAAAGGUUCCUUUAUCAUCAUAAUGUCCAGAUCUAGAAAUUAGAGGGGGUUUAAGAGCCAUGAAUGAGAGUUUGAUGCUUGUUUUUCCCACUUUUGACCUAGAAUGGAUUAGUUCAUUCAUGGUGUGUGCAUGACCAUAAAACAACCAUUUUUAUGGACCAUAUGUAUCCCUUUUAGCUGCUAGAUGAGUUGGGUGUAAUGGAUUAAUGGAUUAAGGACCUAAAACCUUGAUUUUUGGCUUCAAUUUGUGCUCACGACAUGAGACACAAGGUCUCACGACGUGAGAUUCGAAGGACCCGUUUCUGUGGAGUCAUCUGAGGCUCACGACGUGACCGAACACUGCUCAUUCAUGAGAUCAGUUCCAAUAACUUUUCAUGUAUGAGUUGCCCGAUUUGAGUUGCGAUGAGUUGGAAUCAGACUGAGUGGAAUCUCACGACGUGACCAAGGGCUGGUCACGACGUGAGACUUGAUGUUAUGAUUUUUGUCUGAUGGCUUUGAAUUUAUGGGUUAACUCUGCGUCCUAGUUGACUUAUGGUUGGGUCAUAUUCAUCAAAGGGUAAAAUGGUCAUUUACCCUAAGGUGAACAGGUUAAGGGCGCUUAAUUGUGGAAUUUCACCAUAAUUGCUAAUUAAGGAUAUUUUUGGUUAUAUUAGUGAGAGGAUGUUGAGAUUAAAAUUCUAAAGAUCGAAUAGAUUCAAACAGGAAAAAGCAAUCAAACACAGAAUAUGAAUCAAGAGUAUGUCGAAUGAUUAAAAGUCACAGCCUCAGAAGAGCUCGAUAAAGAAUUGCUACUAUAGAGGCUAUGUAAGGUUUACAAUGCAAAAAAACGAUUACAAGACACAGUGCAUGCAUGCACCUUAAAUAAUAAAACCCUAAUAAAUAAAGAACGGGUGGACAGGCCCAACCCAGAUACAAGCUUUACAAAACAUAAGGCCCAAAACGACGCAACACUUUAAGUUCUAACAAUCUCCCCCUUUACAUAGAUUGAGGUGAGAGUCUAUCAUUGUUGAGUUCGCUUCUGCACUUCAAAUACUUUCGAAAUCACGCUUAGCAGAGCCUUGCGAACUUGGAUAUACCGUUGAAUCAUAUCUGAAAAGCACUUCUUGUCGCUUUUGUUGUUCCCUUUGUAUUUGCUGACGAAGUACAAGAUAUACUCCACGCACAAAGUGGUGAACAAAUGUUUGUCGUUGAGGAAGAAACAAACUUUGUGAAAGUCUACAUUAGUUCUCUCUUUCAUUUGAAAGGCCACACACCAUCCUUCCUUUCGUAUCUUCCCUGGUUUCAUUUUAUCAAAACUUUUAGGGGCUGCUUUAGGGAGCACAGUUGGCUUCCUUUACAACACAACGACUACUUCGACAUCCAUUUUCCUAACUUCUUGAAUGUACGAAACUAGCAUUCGCUUUAGGUGACAAACAACAUGCUCGUACUUCUGUUCAUCCCUUAGCAGCAUGUUGUAUAGUAGGAUCCAAUCAUACGGGUUCAGGCAUGGAAGAUCAGCAAGAGUAAAUGCAUGCACCUGACUCGUUGAACCUCUAGUAACCCUAAAUUUUGCAUUGGGGAAGCUAUCAGUUUCAAUUGGACAAACAACCUUCACAGUCGUGAUCUUGUUCGCACUCUAUGUCUCGUACUGAGGCUUCAUGUGCUUUAGGUAGAAUGAGAAAAGUAAGUGAUCUGCACCGUAGUCUGUUGGAGGGACAUUCGUAACUUUGACAAAGCUGAGAAACUUGAAGGCUUUGGUGUGAAUGGAAGAUCCAGUUAUGAAUCUUGUGUAUUUUGAAGAUCAAAAGACACAAGUGGUUCCAACCAAUAUUGACUCGGCAUAUCCACAACUUCACUCAGGAUUCGCUUCAAAGUCCAUGCAAGAAACAAAAUCUUUCUCUUUCUAGCAUGACUUGAGCCUUGCGUUCAGCCUUUUCUUUCUCUUCGGCCUCAUGAACAAUUCUUUGGUGCUCAUCCAUUUUAGCUUCACAAUCUUUUCUUCUUUUAAGCUCAUGUUCAUCAGGCUCUUCUUCUUCACUGUCAUCAAUUAUUGGUUAUUCAUUGAUCGAUUUUUCUUUCCCUUUUGGUUAAUUUUCUUUCUUAGGCUUGACAAUGAGCUUGACUGUAGGUUUAGGGUUUUCCUUCUUGGAUUGUUUCACACCUUCUCCCCUUGUUUCAGAAUUGAGCUUGAUUCUGGAACACCUUCCAGUCAGUUGAGCAUAGCGAAUAUGGGCCUUAGCUUUUCAGACGGGUGCUUCUUGGCUGUGUUUUUGAUCAUCGAGUCAUGAGUCUCGAUGAUAUCCAAAAGCAGUGCAUUCAUGUCUGAGAUACAUCUUUUCAUAACAACAUUCUCAAAUAGGAGAUCGUUGAUUCAUGUUUCGGCUUGCUCAAGUUUGACAGUGGGUACCUUUACUUUCUUCGUCUUCACUAUGAGAGCAUCCAUAAUCUUACUCUCAGUGGCCAAGUCAUCCUGAAGCUGUGUAAUCUUUGAUGAAAUGGAGGAGUUGAGCUAGGCAUUGUCUGUUUGGAGGCCAGUACGAACCUCUUCGAGUUUCGCCUUCUCCGUUCUAAGUGUAGAUCCAAGGCUAGAAAUAACUUCGUUAGCCAUCGCAGUGUUGGACUCGAAUGAGCUCUGAAAUUUUCUCAUGAAAGAAUGAGCAUCUAUAAUUAGUUUAUCAACUUUUUCAGUCGUUUCUUGGCACACUGAAGCUGUAGCAUCCAAAUAUUUUUUUUUUCUUCUCAAGGUUAUCUGAGUGUUAUUUCAUGAGGGUCUCGAGGAAGGACUUGAUCAUUGUUUGAGAAUAGUCUUCACUGGAUGAUGCUUUAGAUGAUUGGAGCAACGAAUCCAGUUUCUCAUUGAUAGCCUUGAGUUGCCCUUUUGUGGUGGGAGCUUCGUCAUCACUUUUAGUCCGAAUAUUGAAGGGACUGUAGGUGAAUCCUCCAAAGUCCUAGUCAUCACCACCAUAAAUCAUGUCUGGAUCAUCCUGGCAGAAAGGAGAGAUGGGUGGAGUAGAAUGACCAACUGAGAAACCUGAAGCACCUGCCCCCGUAUCAGAUGUGUUGACAAUUAUUGGAGGUUCAACAGAUGAGGUAGUGAUGGUGGCACUGGAAUCUAUGAAGGUGAGGUUUGGACUUGCGAAACACCCAUUGACACCGGUGGGCAAAGGGCAAUCUUGAUAGGGGUUGAGAUAUUGGCAAUGGGUGAAGAGAUAGAAAAAUCAUGGAAAAUUCAUCUGUUAUUGGAGUGGAGGUAGGGAUCUCAAAAAUUACCUCAUGAUUCGUAGUUGAAGGCUCCGAAACCUUCGGUUGAGAUGUAGCGUCAUCUUCGUUGCAAACCUCUUGUUGAAUAGGAACCUCCAAAACCAUUUGCGAUUGCGAGUCCUCGUGGUCACUCGGAGUUGGAGAUCUUGGCUUACGAGCCACUUUCUUGAUCUUCUUGUUUUUAGGUGCUUGAGGAGGUUCGGAUGUACCAAAUUUCACAUCCCUCUUCUUUCCCCUUUUUUUGGGUUUGUCAACCUCUACGAGAAUCAGUUGGAAUUCGUCAAUCAAUGGGUGAAAGCCUGAGACUAGUAGACUGCGAUAGGCUCGCAGUACUUCGCUCGCAGUCGGAACCUCUCACAGCAUAACUUCAGAAAUGGAAUCGAUGAAGCUGAACUUAGAGUUAUCAGCAAGUAUGAUGUUCGUGGUGUGAAAGAUCUCGAUUGAAGCCAUACACGAACCUUCCAAAAUAGGGAUGUUGAGCUUGUUGAUCCCCCGUUGCACGACGAUGGUCCAGAAACGAGCAAAGGAGAUUUCAUUGUGUCCAAAGCAUCGAGCCAUAAUCCAAGUUGAUGUCGUAGUAGAUGCCAUACCUCAUGGUCAUAAAUAAUUUGCUCACACAGUCCGAGCCAGUAACCCUCUCCGAAAAGCUCUUGAACAGAAGGUAAAGAGGCCGUUCCACAUUGGCAACAAGUGGGGUUUCUUGAACUUUGAAACAACGGCCAACACUUCCUUGUAGCCUAUCUGGUAGAACAUCUCCAGAAUUGUUGAGUUAGAGACGCUCUCAGGGUCAGUUAGGUCACGGCCCUGUGGAUGCCCUAAGAGGUUACAGAACCUCGAUUUGGUUGUUUGGGUUUUAUGGUCUUGGAUUUCGAACGUGAUUAGCUCCUCUCCCUUUUGGUAACUGGCUGUGGAGUAGGCUUUGGAGAGAUGCACCAACAGAACAAUUUUUGACUUGGUAAGAGCAAUGACCAGUUGAGAAUACCUCAAACAUUCGACAAUGGGUUGAAGAAACCCGUCGUAUUUGACCGGAUCAAGGUCGAGUAUCAUGUUUUGGUUUGCCUUUAUGUUGAGAAUCGAACACUACAUUGAUUUUUCUUGGACGGAAGGGGUUUCUGAAGAACCUAUCAUUGAUGCUUGUUGAAGGAGAUGAACAGUAGAGAGAAUAAUUGCCGAAGGAUUUUGUUUGUUUUUUGAAAGUGGUAAUUAAGUAAUGAAGCAUUAAAAUCCUUUUAUACGGUCUAGGAGGUGAGAGAAAUUUGUCGAUUUGUUGCAUCGGUUACUGAAAAGUCGCCUAAAAAGGUGUGACUGACAGAGGUUACGUCAGGCGUGUGUGUCAGACGGCGGUAAAGUAGGCAUCAAGUCAGGAGCCGUUUCAAAUUCCACGCACCCAAAUUUCAAAUCUUAUCUUUUAGAAUCGUCCUUUCAGAUUCUAACUUUCGCAACCGCAUACAUUCGCAAUUGAUCACCAUUGAUAGUACUCCGAACCUGAAAGUAACCAAUAGGAUGACGAACCAGAAUUUUGAAAAUCAUAAAGAUCUUCUUGCAAGAGUGUGCCAAAGAUAAAGAAAUAAAGCGAGUUUUCUUAGGGAUUCUAGUGAUGUCAUUUAAGACAUAAAACAGAUGGACCUCGGGCAACGGUGUCACACCCCCAAACCAAGGAUGGCGGAAACGUCUGGGGGUGGAAGACUUCAUGUACAGUAUCACAACAACGUGUAUAAUAGUGCUCAAAGUAAAUACAACCAUCAUAAAUAUAAUUGAAAAAGUUACACCAAAGUAUAUGUUUACAUGUUUCAAAAUCAAUUACAUUAUGAUGACAAAAAUAAAUUGUUGAAGGUUUAAUGUCCCAUCCUCAAGGCGCUGAAGUUUUCCUGUUUCACUGAUUUCCUGAGAAUACAAGUAGUUUUGAAAAAGUGUCAACAAUUAAGUUGGUGAGUUCAUAAGAGUUUUGUUUGAAGUAGAAACCGUUUUCCUUGUAAAAUCGAUAGAGUUUGAUUUCCAAAAAAUCCAAUAUUUUCUUAAUGAAGUAUGAAUAGAACAUUCCUAUAUGAUGCGUUAAUGAACCCUAGAAUGACCCGUAGACUUCUCCUAUAAUCGUCCAGCGCAUAUAAGUUAUAUAAGAUUUAAGUUGAUAAAACGUUGAAUAUAGUGGGUUUGCCCUAGGUCCACAACCAAACGAGGAACAGGAGAUGAGGCGGGCCCACCAAUUCUAAGUCAAUCGAGACUAAAUUCUUAUACGACUCAUGCAUAUACGCUCAGCGAUUAUAGUUGAAGUCUAACAAUUCUGGAUGAAAAAUAUGGUUUUAAUAUCAUAAUAACUAUUUUACGUAAACCUGGUACUUUGGAAUGUACCCCAUUUAUAUGAAGACCCGGUACUUUUCCUCAAAAUGUGAAAUGUAAGUUUCUAUGUUAUGAAAUAGUGCAUCCUAGAAUUCCCUAUAGAUUCCUUCUAUAAUUUCCUUGUGUAUAUAAGUUAUAUAAAAUUAAAGUUAGAUAAAACGUCGAAUGUAAUGGGUCUGCCCUAGGCCCACAACCAAACGAGGAACAGGAAAUAAGGCGGAACCACCAAUUCUAAGCCAAUCACGACUAGAUUCUAUAUAACUCUAGCAUAUACACUUAGAAAUUAUAGCCGAAAACUAACAAUGCGAAAGUGAAUGUGGACUUAAACCCAAAAACCGGAACCAAUCCUAGUGUAGUGUACGAAAUAGUAAUAGUGACUGUGAACAUAAACUAUACAUAUCAUAGUUCAUCGGAUAGUGAUAGUGACUACUGAACAUGUACUAUGCAUAUUAUAGUUUACCAAAAGUGGUGGUGAUGGUGAAUAUAACCUAUACAUAUCAUAGUUCAUAAAAUAGAGAUAGUGGUAGUGAGCAUGAACUAUGCAUAUUAUAGCUUAUCAAAAGUAGUGGUGAUGGUGAAUAUAACCUAUACAUAUCAUAGUUCAUCACUUUGUUUGUAAUGUAUAUAUGUCAUAACUAUACCGAUUAUAAUUAGCGUGUUCGUUUGUGGGGGGUAUAAUGGCUUAACUAUACUUAUUAUAGUUUAUCAUAAUUAUUCAUAGUCGUAGUAACUCUUUUGUAUGUGUAAUACCUUUAAUAAUGUGUUUGUUAUGUAAAAGAACCCUAAACUAUACCUAUUAUAGUUUAUCAAUUAUUUUUUUGGGUAGUGAGCAUAAGCCUUACUUGUCAUAGUUUACCAAUGUUUGUAUUUUAAUGGAUAUAGCAUUGUAAUAUCUUUUAUGUAUUUACCAUACUUAUGGAGGUAAGAAUCCAUUUGUUUUCUGAUGUAUGUCUAUAUAAUAAGACAAGACGACACAUAUGGUAAUAACAUAUCUUCACAUGAAGGUACACACCUUUGCUCAACAAGUUACAAGGUGUAUAUGAAAUUGAAAACAUUUUUCUAGUAUUGCCAUUUCUAUUCUGUUUUUAGAAAAUUCAUAGAAAAAUAACUAAAGGUGCAAAUCAGAAUCCAUAAAUUCUGAGAGUUUGGAAAAUGAGUCUAGUUUGUUCAUAAUUUUUAUCAUGAUUUUUGGAAGCCUUUAACUUGUAUUAAAAUGCUCAAAUUCACAGACUGGUCCGGAUUGAUGUUUGAAAUGAUAGGUAGUUUUGUAAAAAUCACCAUAAAUUGUAGAAAAAUCGUAUGGAGAUGUGCAAGUAGUCAUUUUAAAGCUAAGAAGUGGAACUACUUGCACCUAAAACAGUUUUGAAAACUAAAAUGUUUAAGUUGUCCAAAAGAGUCUGUGAAUGGGGUUGAACUUUUCUGAUGAAGGCUGUUAGAAAAGUUUAGUUAUGUUCUUGGUGUUUUAACUUGUAUUCCCCCCCUAAAAACUUGAGAAAACAUGAAAAUGUAGGGGUAUGAACUCACCUUNNNNNNNNNNNNNNNNNNNNNNNNNNNNNNNNNNNNNNNNNNNNNNNNNNNNNNNNNNNNNNNNNNNNNNNNNNNNNNNNNNNNNNNNNNNNNNNNNNNNNNNNNNNNNNNNNNNNNNNNNNNNNNNNNNNNNNNNNNNNNNNNNNNNNNNNNNNNNNNNNNNNNNNNNNNNNNNNNNNNNNNNNNNNNNNNNNNNNNNNNNNNNNNNNNNNNNNNNNNNNNNNNNNNNNNNNNNNNNNNNNNNNNNNNNNNNNNNNNNNNNNNNNNNNNNNNNNNNNNNNNNNNNNNNNNNNNNNNNNNNNNNNNNNNNNNNNNNNNNNNNNNNNNNNNNNNNNNNNNNNNNNNNNNNNNNNNNNNNNNNNNNNNNNNNNNNNNNNNNNNNNNNNNNNNNNNNNNNNNNNNNNNNNNNNNNNNNNNNNNNNNNNNNNNNNNNNNNNNNNNNNNNNNNNNNNNNNNNNNNNNNNNNNNNNNNNNNNNNNNNNNNNNNNNNNNNNNNNNNNNNNNNNNNNNNNNNNNNNNNNNNNNNNNNNNNNNNNNNNNNNNNNNNNNNNNNNNNNNNNNNNNNNNNNNNNNNNNNNNNNNNNNNNNNNNNNNNNNNNNNNNNNNNNNNNNNNNNNNNNNNNNNNNNNNNNNNNNNNNNNNNNNNNNNNNNNNNNNNNNNNNNNNNNNNNNNNNNNNNNNNNNNNNNNNNNNNNNNNNNNNNNNNNNNNNNNNNNNNNNNNNNNNNNNNNNNNNNNNNNNNNNNNNNNNNNNNNNNNNNNNNNNNNNNNNNNNNNNNNNNNNNNNNNNNNNNNNNNNNUUUCGGGUCCUAAGAGGACUUUCGGGUCCUAAGAGGGGUUUCGGCUCCUUAAGUCCGUUUUUCGCGUAGACUUCCGUUUUUUGGCUGUUUUCGCCAAAUUCGAGGGUCGGGAUGCCCCGAGUGAUUAUAGAAAGUUGAGAGAGAUUUUGAGAGAGAUUUGGGAGAGAUUUGUCAUACUUGGAGAGAUUUGGCAUACUUAGAGAGAUUUGGGAGAGAUUUGACAUACUUGGAGAGAUUUCUCAUACAAGGAGAUAUUUGGGAGAGAUUUCACAUACUUAGAGAGAUUUGGGAGAGAUUUGACAUUCUUGGAAAGAUUUCUCAUACAAGGAGAUAUUUGGGAGAGAUUUCACAUACUUAGAGAGAUUUGGGAGAGAUUUGACAUUCUUGGAGAGAUUUCUCAUACAAGGAGAUAUUUGGGAGAGAUUUCACAUACUUAGAGAGAUUUGACAUUCUUGGAGAGAUUUCUCAUACAAGGAGAUAUUUGGGAGAGAUUUCACAUACUUAGAGAGAUUUAGGAGAGAUUUCACAUACUUGGAGAGAUUUGGGAGAGAUUUCAAAUAGAGAGAGAUAGAGUGAAAACGAUUGAGAGAGGUUUCAUUUGUGACCUUUUUGAGUGUCUGGCUUCGCAAUGCAAGGUUCGUAAACCCCGUUAAGCGUUGUUUAAGGAUCUUACACACUCCCGAUGAGUAUGCAACAUUGUUUUAUCGGUUUGGCUCGCCACGUUCCACAAUUUUAAGUUAAGAAGAUCUAGAUGUACGCACUUUUCGAUUUAUGAUCUCCCAUUAGAAUAGCGAGUUGUUUAGUAAUCAUACAACGUAAGCCCUAGUACACAAGGGUUAGUUGAGUUGACCGGUUUGACUUGUUGACUUAAGUUGACUUUGACUUGACCGAAAAUUUGACGGUUGUCACAAACGGUCUUUUCCUUCCCACUCAAGAGAGACUUUGAAGUGCUUUUGUGGUGUCUCGUUGAAUUACGAUCAUUUGUUUGUAGAGAAACAGUGAAAGGCUUCUUUUAAUAAGGCAAAUUUGGUGGCUUCUUCUUCAACUAAAUCCAAAACUCAACAUAGGUCUGAACGUUCGUAUGAAGUACUUGUUUGACCAGUGUAGCCAUAAAAACAAGUAUCCUUGGGAAUAAUUUUCAAUGACUAGGAUAAAUAUAGAAAUCUCAAGAAAAAUAAAACUGGAUCUAUUGGCAAAACCGUCUUAGGACUAGAACAUUUCAUGAAGAUCUCACAAAAAGAAAAAUAAAUUUCUUGGUACAGACCACGAAAGUGGACAUUCGUUAAUUCCUUGGUGAAAAAUCUAGAACAUGUAAUUGUUCACUGUCAAUUCGUAAGUAUGUGUUGAAUUUUGGGUUUCACUCAAUUUGUGGUAAUAAGAAAUUUAAGAUCAUAAACACAGAAGUUGUGUAACCAUAAACCUCAGUGGUAAUUUCUGAGAGUCUCAAGGGUUACGUUCAUGAAUGCGAAAGUGAUGGAGAAGUAGUAGGAGGUGGUUCCAAAGAAAUAGUGCACCUCUACUAUGCGAAAGUGACUAAGCAGCAAACUCUUAACUCAAAGCGGGAUGAGUAAGGUAGUUCACGACUUAUGUGAAUAAACAGCCUAAUUGGGAAGAAACUAUUAGUGUUAUCGAUUCAUUAAGGCUUCAACAUAGAGUCUUUGAGGCUUUGGACUACAUGUAACAACAUGCUUCUAGGGACACUUAACUGGUUCAUAGAUUAAGAAUUUUAUAUCUACCCCAUCAUUUGUAAUUGAGAUCACCAAGAUAUGGAUCUUCAAACCUGCUCAAUUAUCUAAUAUUUUUGAUAUUUUUUGAUUAUUUUAUGAAAAGAAAUAAGAACAAAAAUGAAGAAAAUAUUUUUGUAUUUUUGAAUUUCUGAAAAAUGAAUAAAAACGUAAACAAAUAAAAUAUUUUUGGAUUUUGUUUUUUCUGAAAAAGAAACAGAAACAAAUAAUUAACAAAGUGUACAAAGGAUACAUGAAGUUCUGAACCUUCGAAUGAACAGUGGAUUGCGAGUCACUACGACCAUUCGCACCAAUUCACAGUAUGAAAAGUAGACUGCAAGUCACUACGAGCGUUCGCACCAAUUCGCAGUUAAAACAUUACGAAUGUGAAGGUUGUUUCGGAACAGAUUCAACCUUUAUCAUUCCUAGGCCUUGAAUAAUGUGAUUGAAGGUUUGCUCAGGCAAGGCUUUCGUGAAGAUGCCGGCCAAUUGAUCAGUGGAUCUAACAAAAUGUAUUUCUACAUGACCAUUUUCCACAUGAUCUUUGAUAAAGUGAUACCUCAAUGCUAUGUGUUUUGUCUUUGAAUGUUGCACUGGGUUGUGACAAAUACGAAUGGCGCUCUCAUAAUCGCAAUAUAAGGUGAUUCGCUUCAUGUUGAUACCAUAGUCGCGAAGCUGACUUUGAAUCCAUAUUACUUGUGAAGUACAAGAGGCAGCGGCUAUGUACUCUGCUUCAGCAAUUGACAGGGAGAUGCAAGUUUGCUUCUUCAAUUGACAACUUACGAGUUUGUCAUCAAGAAAUUAGCAUCCUCUCGUUGUACUCUUUCUAUCUAAACUGCAACCUCCAAGAUCAGCAUCCGAAAACACUUGCACAAAGAAACCCGAAUUUGAAGGGUACCAUAUUCCAAGUGAGGAUGUUCGCUUGAGAUAUCUGAAGAUAUUCUUAACCGCGGUCAUGUGAGGUUCAGUAGGAUUCGCUUGAAAUCUGGCACAAUAGCAGACAGAAAACAUGAUAUCUGGACGAGUAGCAGUCAGAUACAUCAAUAAACUUAUCAUUUGAUGAUAGAGAGUCAUAUCAGUAGCUGGCUUGUCCAGAGAUGGGUUUCGUUUCGUUUCGAAUGCCAAUGGAACCUCACCUAUGAAUCUCCCACCAUUCCAAACUUGGAGAGUAAGGUCUUUGUAUAAGCCUCCUAAUUGAUAAAGAUAUCUUAUUGACUCUAUCUUAUAUUCAAGCCAAGGAAAACGUUAAUCGGACCCAUGGAGCGAAUCUCAAAUUUAGUUUCCAUCAACUUUCGGAACUCAACUGUUAAGCUGGGUUUAUAUGACCCGAAGAUGAUUUCAUCAACGUAAAUUUGGACGAUCAUCAAGUGGUCACCAUCUUUCUUGUGAAAGAAGGUUGGGUCGACCGAUCCCUGUUUAAAUUUAGCCUUUUUUUUAAAACGAGUUAGAGUUUCGUACCAGGCUCUCGGAGCUUGCUUUAGACCAUAAACUACCUUGUCCAGAAUGUAACAGUGGUUCAGACACUUUUCGUUUAUGAACCAUGGUGGUUGUUCCACAUACACUGUUUCUUCUAGUUCCUCAUUCAGAAAUGCACACUUGACAUCCAUAUGAUAUACUUCAAAAUUCUUGUGUGACAACCCGAUAUUUCAAAUCUUUGUAAUGACCUAAAAAGUUAAGUAUUGUAACCACUUUUGAAUUAAUAAAAUUAACUUUGAUAAUAAAAUGUCCAAAAAGUUCUAUUUUAAUUCCCUCUAUGUUUAAAUGCAUUAAACCGGGAUCUUACGUAAAAAGAACGCCCAAAUCCGACUUCGUAUAUUGAAGUUAAGAUUUUUCCAAGUUCGACUUAGCAACAGACAGCUAAAAACUCGAAUCGGAGAUCGAGCGACUUUUGGCCGGAAUGACCUAAACGAGAAUCGAAGGUCUCGACAAUGGUAUUUCAGCGGUGAAAAGUCUGGCAAAAACCGACGUCAGAUAAAUAAGUUAUGAAUUUUUCAAGAAAUUCCUUAAUCACGUCAUUUUAUAAUUAAAUAAUAAAAAUAAUUUCGGAAUUUGCCAACGGAGUCUAAACGAAAGUUGUAGAGCGUAGUCUCACCUUCGCGUGGAUAUAAAGACCAUCGAAAACGGAGUUCGUAUGAAGGAGAUAUGAUUUUUUGAAGUUUAUUAAAUAAUUUAUAUAUAUACUUAAAUGAAAAAUCCGGUAAUAUCCGAAGGAAGAGUCAGCGUCCUCAUCCGAGUUACGCGCUGCGUAACCCCGUACGCCUCGCGUACUCGAAGGCCUUGGUCUCGGUCCGUCCACGUCGCCCCUAUGCGAAGCUAUCGACCCGUCCCGUCCCAUCCGACCCGAUCCGUCCCAUCCGAAGCCGAGGCAGUCGAGGACUCGGUCAUGCAUGACGUACGAGUACGCGCUGCGUACGAGCGUAUGCCCCGCGUACCGAGGCUUCUCAGACCCCCUAUAAAUAGAAAUGCGAGGGUUCCGGAAAAAUCACCCCUUUUCUCUCAUUUCUCUCACGAUCUUGCCUCGUUUUCCGUGCUCGCACUACCCCGAAGCUCUGGUCUUUUUGCUCAACUCCCGAAGGUCGAUUUUACUCCCGAGAUUCCCGAGAAUCCCGAGAAAAAUCCGUUUCCCGAGACGAAACUCUGCCCGGUUUUCCAUCUCGCUAUCUUCAAACUUUCAAGUGAGUUCAUACCCCUUAAUUAACCCUUUUUAAUUAUUCUAAAUGCUUUUAUAUGCUUUCUAAGGGGGNAGAUUUCACAUGCUACAAAAUGUGAUGCAUGAAAUGGUUUUACAUCUUAAAAACACAUUGUUACCAAAUGUUUUACCUUUGAAAUGUUUAUUAAAAUGACAUCAAGUCAUUGUUAAUUAUUGUUCAAAACCCAUAAGAUGUCUUACAAAACCAUUUUACAUUCUUGAACUAAACUAUGCAUAUACACUUAUAUUCUUAUAUAUGUAUUGAUGUUAUAGUUUACAUCUUUCAUUUAGUUUCCCACACCCUUGAGUAGUAAGAGUGUAUAAACCUACAUGAUCAACCAGUUAUAUUACAGUAAAUUAUCAUAGGGAUAAUUUGAAGAUAUCAAACAUUACUUCUAUUACAAGGAAUCACACAAGAGUCAGUUCAUUCAUGAGUCUAUACUAGUACAUUACCUGAUACAUGAGUACUUACAGAUGUUUACCUGAUACAUGAAUAUGUUUACAUAUACUUACCUGUUACAUGGACACACAUACAUGAAUACCAUACAGGAACACUUUUACAUAGGUGCAUUAUCCUGUAUUCACUUACCUGGAUACUUGUACUUAGAACUACGAGGAUGAUUUAUUAGUACUUACUGUGUAAAUUGUCUUUCCUAUCUCGGUUCAAUGGGAUAGCUAGGCGGGACUUACCAUUCCGAACCCCACUGAUUAGCACCAGUGGUCGAUGACCAUCUACGGAGGUCUAAGGUUACUACUUAUAUUAGGUAGAUCGAUUGGGACUAACCCUUCCACCCACCUGCUGCUGCUACAGAGGACAAUUGGACAAUCUUCGGAUGUUCAUUAGGUUAUACCUUUCGCUUAUUGCGAUGAUUGUGUUACUCCUAGUACCCAGCGAUGACACUUACAUUAAUACUUGUUUUGGACAAUCUUCGGAUGUUCAUUAGGUUACAUAUUUCGCUUAAUGCGAUGUUGUGUUAGUCCUAGUACCCAGUGACAACACUUACAGUAGUACAUUUUUCCUGUUUACUUUAUUUUGUGAUACAUUCACAUAAUCGAUGAGUUAGACUAAGCACUUAUAGUACUAGUCAAUACUAAGGGAAAACUUCAUACUUACAAAACAUUUGGGGUCUUGGUAGAAGACUACACUUCAUACUUACAAAACAUUCGGGUCUUGGUAGAAGACUACAAUUCAUACGUACAGAACAUUCGGGUCUUGGUAGAAGACUACAUUUCAUACUUAUAGAAAAUAAGGGUUUUUCUAGGGAUUUCAUACUUACCUCAACAUUUUCAUUUAAAGGUUUACAUGGCUUUCAAAACAGAUAUUCAAACAAACAAAACAAUGACACUUAUAUACUUAUGAAUUCACCAGCUUUAAAGUUGAUACUCACUUUCAAAAUAACUUGUAUUCUCAGGUCAUCAGUAGACAGGUACGGAGGCCAGGUUUUGAGAAGACGGAGCAGACAAGUCUCGUCUUUUAUUUUGGUUGUAUAUUUUGGUGUCUUAUUACAAUGAAAGAACACACAUGUAUUAAAC
rnacentral:lncRNA from 1 species